rnacentral:lncRNA from 1 species
UCUCAUGGUCCGUCCUCCCCACUCUGUUCCUGGCAGGAGCAGUCUCUCCUACAGCCGCCCACGCUACAGCUGUUGAAUGGAAUGGGCCCCCUUGGCCGGAGGGCAUCAGAUGGAGGAGCCAACAUCCAACUGCAUGCCCAGCAGCUGCUGAAGCGCCCACGGGGACCCUCUCCGCUUGUCACCAUGACACCAGCAGUGCCAGCAGUUACCCCUGUGGACGAGGAGAGCUCAGACGGGGAGCCAGACCAGGAAGCUGUGCAGAGGUACUUGGCAAAUAGGUCCAAAAGACAUACACUGGCCAUGACCAACCCUACAGCUGAGAUCCCACCGGACCUACAACGGCAGCUAGGACAGCAGCCUUUCCGUUCCCGGGUCUGGCCUCCUCACCUGGUACCUGAUCAGCAUCGGUGAGUAGCCACAUGAGCUGUGCGAGCUCCUUGAGGCUCAUCGGACAGGCACCCUUCUGAUUAGUCUCACAGCGACGGUGACUAGCAUCGUGGCUUUAAAUAGAAGCCAGCUGUCAUCCUGAACUCACAUCUUCUCAGCUCCUUGCAGUAAGCAAUGCACAGGGCAAAGGUUUUUUACUGCGCCCUGGAGCAAUGCGAGAUUCCUCUCUCCCAUUACCUUGCAGACCUGUUUAUUGUCUGCAUUUGAUUCCCAUGAUU